CAAAGUAUACACAUGUCUAGCUUCUUGUACUCAGCACCAUGUCUCUGACAUUCAUCUGUCAUGUGCUUUGAAAGAUGGACUGGCAGGAAGCUCGAGUGACCCCUGCCUCCUGGUGUCCAGACCCCGAGUAUGGGCAGGCUCUGUGACUUGCUUCUAGAAUCCGGCAGAGGUGAUGGGCUAUCACUCCAUGGUCAUGUUAUGUGAGGUAACCAGCUGGACUACAUUUCCCAGUAGCCCUGGGGUUGGGUGCAACCAUGUGAUUGAGUUCUGGCCAGUGGAAUCCUGGAGAUGAUGAUGGACUUCCUCUGGCCAACCAACCCCAUAAACAUCUUUCCAAGCAACACUUUACCCUCUUCCUCAUUGGUUCUAAGAUGCAGGUAGUCUGCAGAGGAUUCUGAGGGCAUAGGAAUAAUGGAGCCACAAGAUGAAAGGAGGUUGAUGGACUACUGAGUUAACUAACUCUUCUAAAGUUCUGCCACAUUGGACUCUUAAGUGAGUGAGAAAUAGGCUGCAGUUGUAUUAGGCCACCAAGUUGGCUUUUCCACCAUGGUCAGCCUGCUGCAAUAUGUCCUCGCUUAAUGUUGCUGAUAGGUCCUUGGAAACUGCAACUUUAGGUGACAUGACCUAACCAGCCUGACCUUAGCCAACUGGUAUAAACAAGAGAAAAAUUUGCUGACCCUGCCUCUCACCACUGUGGAAAAUUCCCAUGAUCGACUCAGAAGCUCCAAGAGGGAAGUCGCCCCCAUAGCCAGACGGAACAGAAGGGACUGGGUUGCAGGACUUUGAGGGCCUCUUCCCACACUAGGCAACCUGGUGGAGUGACAAGAGCCCAGAACAGGGAUGGAGUGACCUGUUUCCAGGCUGUCUCUUCACUUAACUGUUGCCAUCUGGUUCCCGAGGACUUGUGACCUGCCCGUUUGUGACUUUCAAACAUUGCCAUGAAGGUGAAUGAUCUAGGAACUCAACCCACUACUUACUAAAAUGCAGAUGCGUAGUCCCCAUCACCAGAAAGUCUGAUUCCUGCAUGGGGCCCAGGAAUCUGCAUGUUGUCAAGCUCUGCCUAUGGGACAUCAAGGCUAGGGGUCCGCCAGAGACACCACUUUGAAAACCACUGCACAACUGUCCUGCGCGGGAGAGCAGCUGGCAGACUCUUCGGAUGAGCUUGUCUGGGGAGCCCGGGAGGGAAGCAGGGACAAACCCAGAGGGUAGUGGGAGGGUGAAG